rnacentral:rRNA from 1 species
UACAGAGGGGGCAAGCGUUGUUCGGAAUUACUGGGCGUAAAGGGCGCGUAGGCGGCCUUCUAAGUCGAACGUGAAAUCCCCGGGCUCAACCCGGGAACUGCGUCCGAUACUGGAAGGCUUGAAUCCGGGAGAGGGAUGUGGAAUUCCAGGUGUAGCGGUGAAAUGCGUAGAGAUCUGGAAGAACACCAAAGGCGAAGGCAGCAUCCUGGGAAGUGCCUGACGCUCAUGUGCGAAAGCUAGGGGAGCGAACGGG